rnacentral:rRNA from 1 species
AGUGAACGCUGGCGGCAGGCCUAACACAUGCAAGUCGAGCGGCAGCGGGCUGUAGCAAUACAGUGCCGGCGAGCGGCGGACGGGUGAGGAAUACAUCGGAAUCUACCUUGUCGUGGGGGAUAACGUAGGGAAACUUACGCUAAUACCGCAUACGAACUACGGUUGAAAGCGGAGGACCGCAAGGCUUCGCGCCAUUGGAUGAGCCGAUGUCGGAUUAGCUAGUUGGCGGGGUAAUGGCCCACCAAGGCGACGAUCCGUAGCUGGUCUGAGAGGAUGAUCAGCCACACUGGAACUGAGACACGGUCCAGACUCCUACGGAGGCAGCAGUGGGGAAUAUUGGACAAUGGGCGCAAGCCUGAUCCAGCCAUGCCGCGUGUGUGAAGAAGGCC